GGCUCUGAUGGCCUAGUGGUAAGAGGCGUCCGCCUCUGAUGAUGGAGGUCGUGUGUUCGAUCUACGGCCGAGCCA